ensembl:lncRNA
AAACCAGCCCGCAAGCCCCCUGGGGAUAGAUGUCUGGGAAGAGCAAGGCGCUAUUUCCGUAUCUUUAGCCGCCAAGUCCUCCUCGCCCAAUGUGGGGUUUCCUGGGGGUGAGAAUAAUCACCCCCCAGCUUGCGGGUUGUGAACGUUCGAAAGAAUAUGGUUUGAGUGGCGUGGAGCAAGCGCUCCGGCAAUUGGGAAUCCGCGUGGGAUCAGCGCCCAGACGCCGCCGCCCUAGCCCUUGCGGUGGCAAGGCUGCGUGGAAGCCCACUCCCCGGCCCCGCGCCACAUUUCCUUCUGGCGCUGGGGAACAUUGUUCCAGAAAACGUGGGCUGAAUCGCGGUGCGAAUAUUAGGGGCGGGAGGAGAAGGCCCGGCGCGCCGAGCCAGUAAUCCGAGCUCUUGAUUAUCCAGAUUCGGAUCAAACGGGGCGGCGGCGGCCGGCCCCCUCCUGGGAAUGAUUAGAUGAUUAAUGUAAUGCUGUUUGAAGGGUCUCUGUUUUCUCUCUUAAUUUGGGUCAUUACUUAGAAAGCAAGCGUGAGAUCAUUUCAUCAGCGUGCUCGGCGGCGGAGAUAGCUAUUCAGGAAAUGGGCUAACUGAGCGGUAAUCAGGACGCUGGGGGCGGCGGCGGCUGCGAGCCGCAGGAGCCCGGAUGCGCCCUCCCGCGGCAGGGCGCACCGCACCCGGAGGCCGGCCUCAGACCACAGCGCGGGCCGCGGAGCCCUAAAGCUCGGAAUGCGCUGGGACACUUGGCCCCCAGUUCUCGCCGCCAGGAAUGACUGAGUGGAAGAGUGGCUCCCCUUACAUCACCCAGACAAGAGGGAAUGCCCAGAAAGCGCCCCGGCGCGGCAGUGCCCAUGCCAUCUACCCCACUGUGGUGGGGCUCUUUGCUCUAGGACACGCAUCCCAAACCUGCUCUCCAACACCUAGCCACUUUGAAUCCCUUCUUUUUAAAAAACUCACCCAAAUAUGGCAACACCCAGAAUCCCUUGGUCAGAACAGUUAGCAAAUAAAAACUUGGUACAACGUGAGGGCCGUUGUAGGCCUUUACAUC